UACAGAGGUCUCAAGCGUUGUCCGGAAUCAUUGGGCGUAAAGCGCGCGUAGGCGGCCUUGUAAGUCCGUUGUGAAAGUCAAAGGCUCAACCUUUGAAAGCCGAUGGAUACUGCAAGGCUGGAGUCCGGAAGAGGCGAGUGGAAUUCCUGGUGUAGCGGUGAAAUGCGCAGAUAUCGGGAGGAACACCAAUGGCGAAGGCAGCUCGCUGGGACGGUACUGACGCUGAGACGCGAAAGCGUGGGGAGCAAACAGG
rnacentral:rRNA from 1 species